UACGGAGGGUGCGAGCGUUGUUCGGAAUCAUUUGGCGUAAAGCGCGUGUAGGCGGCUAGGUAAGUCUGCUCUGAAAGCCCGGGGCUCAACCCCGGGAGGCGGGUGGAUACUGUCUAGCUCGAGUCCGGAAGAGGGGUGUGGAAUUCCUGGUGUAGCGGUGAAAUGCGCAGAUAUCAGGAGGAACACCAAUGGCGAAGGCAGCUCGCUGGGACGUUACUGACGCUGAGACGCGAAAGCGUGGGGAGCAAACAGG
rnacentral:rRNA from 1 species